GGCGAGGUAGCUCAGCUGGUUAGAGCGUAUGAUUCAUAAUCAUAAGGUCGGGGUUCAAGCCCCCUCGCUA
rnacentral:tRNA from 1 species